CCCUUAGGUGUUCUGGGCCGCACGCGCGCUACACUGAUGCAUUCAACGAGCCUAUCCUUGACCGACAGGUCCGGGUAAUCUUUGAAUCUGCAUCGUGACGGGGAUAGAUUAUUGCAAUUAUUAAUCUUCAACGAGGAAUGCCUAGUAGGCGCAAGUCAUCAGCUUGCGUCGAUUACGUCCCUGCCCUUUGUACACACCGCCCGUCGCUCCUACCGAUUGGGUGUGCUGGUGAAAUGUUCGGAUCGGCCGUUUGUCGCGGUUUCCGCGGCUCGUGGCUGAGAAGUUCAUUAAACCCUCCCACCUAGAGGAAGGAGAAGUCGUAACA
rnacentral:rRNA from 1 species